GAGCGAGCGGCGGGUGUCCCUGAGAGGCCACCUUUCGACCUUCGAGGGCCAGGAGGAUACGGGGAGGUGGCCGGAGGGAGUUCCCGAACACAGGUCUUCCUGUUCCCGCCGAGCAGGUGUUGGCGGUGCCAGGCCCGGCCUGGCGGGCCCGGGCUGGCAGCCAAAUACCCAGCGUCUGUGCUCGGGACGGGAGUGUUCGUCCAGGACGUGCAGCUCCGGAGCCUGCGCGGGCGACCUUGACCACCUUUGUCGGCUGUUUCCCCCUGAGGGAAGUAUACCUGUCCUGCCAGCCUUGGUCUCUGGCAGGGAAGGUCCUUCCAACAGAGAGGGGUGCGCACGAAUUCCUUUUUGCCGCUCUUCUAUUAAUAGUUUGAGAUUUUCCUCCCCGAUUCCUUGCAGAGAGGGCCUGGUCCUCAAGGACCUCGGGAUCUGGGCGCGACGUCCCUUCCCAGCUUCCUCCCGCGCGCACCGGACCAGAUCUUGCUGUCGUCAGCUGGCUGGUACCCAAAGUUCCUCUUCGUCAGGCUGUUCCUUCCCCGUUAGAGUCCUUCCUCCCCAGGAGCCCUCUCCAUCUGCUGACCUUCAAGACCCAGAGCGAAUGCCACUUCAUCCAUGAAGCCUUCCCUUAACCCUUAUCUGGCCAAAAUGUCUCUUUCCUGUGCUUCUGUACUUUCACAAUUUUAGAAAAUGCCUUUGUGGUUAAAAACCUAUCUCCGGGACCGGACUAUCUAGGUUUAGAUUCUGGCUGCCGCUUACGAAUUUGGGCAGGUUUAGUCAAGUUAUUUUAACCUCUCUGUGGAAGUUCCUGCUCUGUGGAAAUAAUAGUAUUUUCCUCAGAGUUGGUGUGGGGAGUUUGUGAGUUAAUACAUUUACGAAGUGGUUAGUUGCAUGUAAGAAGGACUCUCUAAAUGUCAGCUAUUAUUAACAUUGCAUAUCUGCCACACCCUUCAUAGAUGGUAAACUGCUUUUUUUUUUUUUUUUACUUUUAUUUUAGGUUCGGGAUACAUGCACAGGUUUGUUUUAUAGAUAAAUUGCUUGUCAUGUGGGUUUGUUGUACAAAUUAUUUUGUCACCCAGAUAGUAAGCAUAGUACUUGACAGGUAUUUUUUCUGAUCCUCUCCCUCCUCCCACCCUCUAGCCUCAAGUAGGUCCCAGUGUCUGUUGUUCUCUUCUUUGUGUCCAUGUGUUCUCAAUGUUUAGCUCCCACUUACAAGUCAGAACAUGCAGUAUUUGGUUUUCUCUUCCGCAUUAGUUCACUUAGGAUAAAGGCCUCCAGCUCCAUCCAUGUUGCUACAAAGGACAUGAUCUCUUUCUUUUUUAUGGCUGCAUAGUAGUCCAUGGUGUAUAUGUACCGUAUUUUCUUCAGUCUACUGGUGAUGGGCAUUUAGGUUGAUGCCAUGUCUUUACGAUUGUGAAUAGUGCUGCAGUGAACAUACAUGUACAUAUAUCUUUAUGGUAGAAUGAUUUAUAUUCUUUUGGGUAUAGACCCAAUACUGGGAUUGUUGGGUCGAAUGGUAAUUCUGUUUUAAGUUCUUUGAGAAAUCGCCACACUGCUUUCCGCGGUUACUGAACUAAUUUACAUUCCCACCAGCAUUGUAUAAGCAUUCCCUUUUCUCCACAACCUCACCAGAAACCAGCAUCUGUUAUUUCUUGACUUUUAUUAAUAGCCAUUCUGACUGGUGUGAGAUGAUAUCUCAUUGUAGUUUUGAUUUGGGUUUCUCUAGUGAUUAGUGAUGUUGAGUAUUUUAUAUGCUUGUUGGCCAUGUAGCUUCUUUUGGCUAGGGACCUGUGAGUCUCCCUAGGUUUCUUGCACUUACUAAGCCUUCAACAAAUGGUAGAAGAGUCAAUUCUCUUGGUGUUUCAGAAGAAAACAAUAUCACAGCCCCUCUCCACUGGAUAAUACUAUAAAUCUUAAAAUGAAUUUUCAUUCAGAGUAAUAAACACAAGCCAAAGAACUUUGUAUAACAUCCGUCAACUUUUUGUGUUAUCUAUUUCUUUUCCAAAACAUUGCCUCUGGUUUUAAAGGUAACUGCCCACAGUGUUUCACUAAUAACAUUUUAAGCAUUACAAGUUCAACACUGAAGGUCAAAUGACAACGAACUUUCAGUGCUUCCAAAAGCAGGGGCAGAGGGCAACUGCUGAGGGGGGCAUUGUAUAGCCUAACCUUCCCAGAAUUUGAUUUAAAAGUAUGAUCUUCACAGCGUUGGCCAGCAAUAUCAUGGUCACUCCCUACGUCAUUCCCUGGGAGAAAAACAACCCUAGGUUACCUAAACAAUGUUGGCGAAGACCAAAUAUUUAUUAACAUCCUAAGCCGCCCCAUAAUCAAGCCAAUGCUGAUAGGGACAAAGAAGGUGCCAUGUGCAGUUUUUCUCCAUGUCCCCACAAUAUCUGCUCUGAAUUUUAAAAGGCAAUUACUGGGGGAGAAGGAAGCCUAUAUAUUAUGUAGGAUCCAAGUCUCAAACUGCUUUCCUAGGGAGUGUGAGGUUCUUGGAGAUUAAGUGCAGUACCUUUCUGUCUUGAGCCUUGUAGGCUGCCCCUCUAAUUUAAUGCCAGUCUUGAAAUAAACAGAAUGCUUUCCAAGUCAUCGCUAAUUUUAACACUUUAAAUUUAGAAUUGCUUAGAAUUGACUCAACACUGCCUCCUUGCUGAAUGGAUAAUUCAAGCAAACAACUCAAGAGCUGGAUGCUGCCCAGACAGGUAGGCAGCCAGAUAAAGUGAGUGUCCAGGGAAAGAGCAGUAAGGGUCAGAAGAGAAAGAGCCUGGUGUUCUCACUGCCUCCUGCCUUCCUUAUGACUGUCUGUUCAGAAGUCCUCCUAGCAUCUUUCUUCUGCCUUCCCCUGCUCCUGUCCCUGAAACCUUUUCUUCAAAAGAAGUGGAAAAGAGGAACUGGGAACCCAUAUAGCAACAGCAUCACCUGGAAUGAAUUCCUUUAGAACAUACUGUCUUGGAAAUCUGAAGCCUGCAGGGCUGGACAGGCAAGAAGAGCAGUGAGCACUGCAUGAACCUGUAAGUAAAUCUGCAUGUGGAUGGUGUUUUGGGUUUUUUUCAGACAGAGCCUUACUCUGUUGCAUAGGCUGGAGUGCAGUGGCACGAUCUUGGCUCACUGCAACCUCUGCCUCCUGGGCUCAGGUGAUUGUCCCACCUCAACCUCUCAAGUAGCUGGGACCACAGGUGUGCACCAACAUGCGCAGCUAAUUUUUGUAGAGAUGGGGUUUCGCCGUGUUGGCCAAGCUGGUCUCGAACUCCUGGGCCAAGCAAUCGGCCUCCCAAAGUGUUGAGAUUACAGGCGUGAGCUACUGCACCAGGCCACACAUGCUUAUUUUACUCAGUCUUGCCCCUGAAUACCCGAAGGUCUAAACUUAGGAAAAAGUCAGGGGAGGGAUGAGUUUGUCAUUCUUUGGAGUCGUUAUAUUUGGGUGAGUGCUGGCACUAUGGGUAGGAUAUUAUUUAGAAGCUGAGUUGUGUGCUGAGCAAAUGUUUCUUUAAAAACCAAAGCCGUAUGAGAUCUGUUAUAGAGGCACAGUGUGGCUAAAUAGUGUGCGAUAAGAUAAGCAUAGGGCUCCUGAGGUGUUGCUGUUCUCCCACUGUAAUGAGUUUACUCUUCUUCCUAAGGAAAGUGAUCCUUUAUCACCUCUCCUCUCAAAUUCACUGGCUUGUUUCGUGAGUGUGCCUUCAUGGAAUCAUGUCUCCUUCUCUUCCCUCAGUUCUCUCCUUCCCUCCCUUACGUAUGACUCCUCCCAUAAUCCGCACACAUGGAUUGAACCAAGUGAGGGUAUUUUUCUGUUUCCUACCUCAUAGAAGGGCAUAGAGUGGACACGGUCUAAGGUUAGUUCCUGAACUGAGUACCCACAUAUGCAGAACUUUAUUUAAAGCUGCUGAAAUCUUUGUAUAACAGAUAGAUCAAUAGGACUGAAAACUACUGAUGGUUUUACUUACUUGUUGAACGUGACUAAGUUCCAUGGCACCAUUUAGAAAUUGUGUUGUAUAGUUUUCGUAUGUUGCUUAAGAAACAGUUUAGCAUAAUGGUUAAAAGCAUGGCCUCUGGAACUAGAUUGCCUCUGUAUGCCUCAGUUUCCUCAUCUGGGAAUAAUAAUAGUUCUACCUCAUGGGAUUGCUAUGAGGAUUAAAUGAUUUAAUUUAAUUAAAUGAUUUCAUACAAAACUGAAUUGUACUUGACACUUAGUACUCAGGUAUUAACUGGGACCGUUAUUAUCAUCACAGAUGUUGUUUACAAGCACUUGCCUUUGAGAUUUGUUUAGCUUUUUUAUUAAAUUACUAGCGGUAUACUAGAACAGUACGUAGGCUGGGGCCUGGAGUCAAAUUCUAGCUUUGCCUCUUAUAGUUUUGAAACUUUGAGUAAAUUACUUGAUGUGUCUGAGUUUUAAUAUUCUUAUAUGUAAUUUACUUUUAAAAAGAAUUUUGCUUAGUGUUGAUAUACACACAUUUAACACAGUUAUAGAAAUUAUUGUUUUUACUAUUGUCAUAUGAGGAAAUUCGUCCCUGGGUUGCUGUAGGGUGCUAAUGGUUAGGCAAACUCUCUUUGAAGUCUGCCUGAUCUGGCCCCUUGCAGGCAUGUACUCCGAAAUAUUUUUCAAAUGGAAAAGAAAACAGAGAACACAAUUUUCAAAAUAUCUAGAGCCCUCCAAGAAGUCUUUGUAGAGAUCUAUAAAAUCUCAAGGCAAUUUAAAGAAUAGAAAAAUGUUUUAGAAACACUAUUCUCUCCACAUCCUGGGGCAGCAGCCUUCUCCAAAGAAACAGAAAGAAGGAAAUGGAUUGCCUUAGCAAAAAAACAAAUGAAGACACUCCAAAUAACAGAAGAAUGGGAAGGCUACAGACCUUGAAGUCAGAAGAAAAUUUCCUCUCCUUGCCCCGUUUCUCCUUAAAUGGAUCACCAGUACAGUCUCUUACUUCUAGAGCCAUGUUAAGCUUUCUUCCCCAAAGUUGUAAUGUCCUUCUUUUGGUUGUGUCGUGUCCUAAAAUCCUACUCUUUGGUACAAGAUGAAGGUAUAUGAAGAGAUAAUGAAGGAAACAAAUUCAAUGUGUUUGCCAAGAACACAGUCUUUUAAAUAACUCUUAAAGGGUUCGUUUAAAACAGUGUAAUAAAUUGUGGUAAUCUAGUACACAAAGCUAGUAGGAACCUCGUUUAUUAAUAAUAUUUCAACAUUGAGCAGUAGAGGGCAGCACUAUCCUUCUUUUGCAAAAUGUUGAGCACUCUUGAGAAGGAAAAUAAAGGCAAAGCUCCUGACCCCUGUGUCUGUGUUUACUUUUACCAUUAAAAAAAAACAAAAAAUUGGAGUAUUUUUAUUAUGGUUUAGGUGAUUAUGUAUAAAGAAUGUCAGAGCCUGCAUUACCUGGAAGUGGUGCACCAGGUAAUGCAAAAAACACGGAAGGUUUGAGGUCCCCCACUCAGGAUAUGGGUUCUGUCUAGUAAAGAUAAACAGUAGCUUGACCCUGGGUAAUCAGAUAGGGUUAUUGUAUGAACAGACCUAAUGCUCCUGCACGUUCUGGAUAGAAGUCAAUCUACUGAAAUAGCAGGAUGUAGUUUUAAAAAAUGUGUGUAACUCAUAUAGUCUUAGCCCUGAUAAGUGCUUCUAAAUUCUUAUUCACUGCCUUUAUUCUGCUGUGUUAGUGUUGCUCUCUGUCAUACGUGGGUCAGGUCAGAACUAGCUCAAAUACAGUAUGUGUAUUAUGACUUUAAGGAGUGGUGUCAGACAAGAUGGGUAAAGAAUGUCUUUCAUGGGACUGCAGUUGGCUAAAUGGCUGUGUAUAAGUAGUGAAAUUGAAGCCUUGUAUGCUCGUCGUCAUUCUAUCACAGUAUGAUUUGAGUUUCCCUAACCGGUAAACAGCAAGAAAAAAUGAUCUGUUAUUUUUUACUAAAGUUACUUGAUGCUCUUUAGCAAGCUGACAGAAUAAUUCUAAUUUUAGCAAAUACAAAACCAUGGUAAUCCUAGCACAUUUGGAUUCUGUUUAACCCUGAAAACUCUUUUGGCAGCAAAUCUUCAAUGCCAAUUUAGAUAAAUCCCACUAGGAAUAAGCACUGAAAGACGUUGAGUCUAGUUCCCAGCUCUGCCAUGUGAAGUUGGGCAAAUUACAGUCUCUGAGCUUUUAUUUCAUCUGUUAAAUGGAGAUAAUACCUCCUAGAUUUAUUAAAAGGGUCAAUUUAGAAAAUAUGUAUUAAAAUGGUUUGAAAGCCAUUUAAGUACCUAAUGAAUAUUUCUAUCACUGUAGCCCAAAAAGAUUCCUGCCUAGAAGACUUUAUGUCUCUUCUCCUCAUUUGGUAUCAUUCUAUUGCCUGAGAUUGUUAAUUAACUUUUAUGUAUACUCAAUAUUUUCUCCCAACUUGGUUGCUAGUUCCUUGAGAACUGAAACCAUCAAUUGCACUUCUUGGUAUCCUCCACAAUAAGGUAUCUAGGUACUCAAAUAUUUGUUGGUUGAUUAAAAACAUAAACCACAAGACAUAAUUAACUCUUUUUAAAAUUGUGGUAAAAAAACAUGUAUUUACCAUCUUAAUCAUUUUUAAGUAUACUGUAUAUUAGUGUUUACUAUAUGCACAUUGUUGUGCAACACAUCUCUAGGACUUUUUCAUCCAGAAUUCUUUUUUUUUGAGACAGAGUCUUGCUGUGUCGCCCAAGCUGGAGUUCAGUGGCACCAUCCUGGCUCACUGCAACUGCUGCCUCCCAGGUUCAAGUGAUUCUCCUGCCUCAGCCUCCCGAGUAGCUGGGAUUACAUGUGCCUGCCACCACGCCUGGCAAGUUUUUGUAUUUUUAGUAGAAAUGGUGUUUUACCAUGUUGGCCAAGACUGGCCUAGAACUCCAGACCUCAAGUGAUCCACCCGCCUCAGCAGCCCAAAGUGGUGGGAUUACAGGCAUGAGCAACUGUGCCUGGCCUAGCCAUUUUCUAUAAACCUGAAAAUAGAUGCCAGAAAAGAAGGUGCCGCUAUAAAAUGCUUUCUUGAGUGAUUUAUGUCUAACAUACAAUUAAACAUUUAUGAGAAGGAAAUUAUCAGGUUAAAAUAUAAACUCACUUGCCAAUUAUUUGAUUUUCAGGAUAUCUGACUUUUGUUAAUUACUGAAAAUAAAGUAUUAUUUCUAAUCACUAUUGGUAUCACAAUAGCAUUUUUAUUUGGCCGGUAUGUGUGAGGCCUGGAGUAUGACGGGAAACUGUCCUAGAAAAGGCCCUUGCAUUGGCUGUAGAGAGUUCUGGAACUCUCAAGAUGGCAAGAUUGUAUUUAACUCUUUUAAAAACAAUGCACCUUUUCAAGCACAGAUUUUCAUCUGAUGUUGUGACCGUCAAUUAUGUCAGAUUUGUUUGAUAUAUUAAAAAAUUGGUUUCUCCUUUGCACAAAAUAAAUUAUAGAUGGAUAUAAGAUUUAAAUAUUUUAAACAAUAUAGGGAAAAUAAUAUAUUUGAAACAUAGUAUUAGG
rnacentral:lncRNA from 1 species